rnacentral:rRNA from 1 species
AAGAGUUUGAUCCUGGCUCAGGAUUAACGCUGGCGGCGUGCCUAAUACAUGCAAGUCGAACGGAAAUUUUCGGAUUUUAGUGGCGAACGGGUGAGUAACACGUAAGCAACCUGCCUUUAAGACGAGGAUAACAAUUGGAAACAGUUGCUAAGACUGGAUAGGAAAUAAAAAGGCAUCUUUUUAUUUUUAAAAGACCUUUUUCGGAAGGUAUGCUUAAAGAGGGGCUUGCGUCACAUUAGUUAGUUGGCAGGGUAAAGGCCUACCAAGACUAUGAUGUGUAGCUGGACUGAGAGGUUGAACAGCCACAUUGGGACUGAGACACGGCCCAAACUCCUACGGGAGGCAGCAGUAGGGAAUUUUCGGCAAUGGAGGAAACUCUGACCGAGCAACGCCGCGUGAACGAUGAAGUAUUUCGGUAUGUAAAGUUCUUUUAUUGAAGAAGAAAAAAUAGUGGAAAAACUAUCUUGACGAUAUUCAAUGAAUAAGCCCCGGCAAACUAUGUGCCAGCAGCCGCGGUAAUACAUAGGGAGCGAGCGUUAUCCGGAAUUAUUGGGCGUAAAGGGUGCGUAGGCGGUUUAAUAAGUCUAUAGUUUAAUUUCAGUGCUUAACACUGUCCUGCUAUAGAAACUAUUAGACUAGAGUGAGAUAGAGGCAAGUGGAAUUCCAUGUGUAGCGGUAAAUGCGUAAAUAUAUGGAGGAACACCAGAGGCGUAGGCGCUUGCCGGGUCUUUACUGACGCUGAGGCACGAAAGCGUGGGGAGCAAACAGGAUUAGAUACCCUGGUAGUCCACGCCGUAAACGAUGAGUACUAAGUGUCUGGAUUACUCGGUACUGAAGUUAACACAUUAAGUACUCCGCCUGAGUAGUACGUACGCAAGUAUGAAACUUAAAGGAAUUGACGGGACUCCGCACAAGCGGUGGAUCAUGUUGUUUAAUUCGAAGAUACACGAAAAACCUUACCAGGUUUUGACAUACUCUGCAAAGCUAUAGCAAUAUAGUGGAGGUUAUCAGGGAUACAGGUGGUGCAUGGUUGUCGUCAGCUCGUGUCGUGAGAUGUUAGGUUAAGUCCUAAAACGAGCGCAACCCUUGUCAUUAGUUGCCAGCAUGUCAUGAUGGGCACUUUAAUGAGACUGCCAAUGAAAAAUUGGAGGAAGGUGAGGAUCACGUCAAAUCAUCAUGCCCCUUAUGAUCUGGGCUACAAACGUGAUACAAUGGCUGUUACAAAGAGUAGCUGAAACGCAAGUUUAUAGCCAAUCUCAUAAAAGCAGUCUCAGUUCGGAUUGAAGUCUGCAACUCGACUUCAUGAAGUUGGAAUCGCUAGUAAUCGCGAAUCAGCAUGUCGCGGUGAAUACGUUCUCGGG